UAAGUAUGUAAAAUUUUAUAGCAUAUAAGGAUUUUCCAACAUUUAAAUUAACAUAAAUUGAGCCAAUGGUUUCGGACAAAGUUCCAUCAAACCCUGACAAUGUUAUUUUGUCAUUGUAAUUUAUGGAAGAAUGCCCUAAUUCUCUUGCCGAUUCCCAACUCAAUGCAUUGAAGCAAGCUCCCGAAUCAAUUAAAUACUUAAUCAUUAUUUUUUUUGAGCUCUGGGAUAAAAUAUGAACCAUUAGUUUACCAUCGCUAGUAAAUUCUAUAUCCAAUGAUUCAUAUUCAUUUCCACAGACAUUUGGUACUUCCUCUAUGUUAUCCAUUAAUUCUUCUUUAAGACUGAGCAAAACUAAAUUUUUCUGUUUUUUCGGAACACUAUCAAUUACUGUUUGAUCACAUAGUGUUCCUUGAUUUAGUUUUUUGUAUGUGUGUUGGAAUUCAAUGGUUGGUGGUUAUAUUGAUUUUGCCCCCGUGAAUUAUUAGUUUCAUGUUGAUUCUGUGGUGGUGUUUGUUGUGAAAAAUGUUGUGUAUUAUAAUGUUGUGGUUGUGUUGAAUAGUGUGAUGGUGUUAGUUGUAUAUAACUACUAUGCGGAGCAAAAUAUUUUCUUGGCCGAGAAAAGUUACUGUUAAUGUUACGAGUAUUUGUGUUAUAUGCCGUACUAUUGUGUUGUGAUUGCCAACAACUAUUUAAAUUUGAAGGGUUAGUGAAAUUAGUGCUAUUGUUGCAGCGUCUAAAACUAUUGGCACUACAUUCUUCUUGCUGCCGGUUUCUUUCGUCAAUCACGCCUUGUGCAGAUAAGCCACUACAGUAACUGGUUUGAGGAGUAUUAUGCGCUUCUGAGCGAUUCAACCUUGUUUCGAUUUUCCGCAUGUGCUCAAUUUGAACCACUUCAUCUUCCAAAUACUCCAAAAGUUCAUCGAAAUCUAAGUGUUUGUUCAUUCUCGCCAGUGUUUGCAGAUCCGAAUUUCUCAAACCACCUAAAAAGUGUAUUUUUAUGUUUCGUAUGGCGUACGAGUCCUCGGUGUUGGUUUUAUCUGUAUUAAUUAUGUUUUCUUUGAGUUUAAGGACCCUUUCUUUGAAUGCGUAAAAAGCUAUUAAAGAAACCAGCUUCACUACCUUUUUAUUUAAACAUUACGGUUCGAAUUAAAUCUUCCUCCGAUUCACCCGCUGGUAUUUGUUUAGCAAAGAAUUCUACUUGAUAAAGAAAUCCAUCUGAAUCAUUUGCAUUUCCGUUGUACUCCGGAAUACAUAACACAUCCGGUGUGUGUGUGUGUGUGUGUGUGUGUGUGUGUGUGUGUGUGUGUGUGUGUGUGUGUGUUUUCUAUUAUCAUUUCAUAAUUUUCGCUGCCUCUUCCGGCACCGAUCCUUCCCAAAUGAAAUUUGCAUUCGUUCUGGCAAUGAGUUUCGAACGAUCAAAACACAGCGCGAGAGUGAAGAACACAAAGUAAAUGGCACUAUGUACAAGUGUUGAUCAUAUGGUCAAAGUAUAAUGGAAUUUAUUUUGCUUCAAAUAAAUUGAUUUUAUUCUGAUUAAAAAUUCAAAUAUUGUUAUCAGCCUAGUUGUUUACGUUUAAAAUUUUGAUGAAGUGAAAUCAUCAUUACCAGAUAGAUGAAACGACAAUCGGCGCAUUUUGACCAAAUCGAAUUAUGAUCGUCUUUACACAUAGUGUCAUCUCUUGCGCUUCAGGGUCUCACGCUCAGAGUAAAAAUUCUCCCAUCUUCGCAACGGUGGAAGCGAUCGGCUAUGGAGGGCUGGAGGAGUGCGAGUGUGUGUCUCAUGCACACAGCGAAAUUUUGGUCAACACCUCGAUGGUGGAAGCAUUUUUCCAUGGGAUGGGGUAGUGGAGUGCGAGUGUGUCGCAUGAUUCCUUUAAAACUAAGGCCAGGGGUAGCGAGAGGCAUCAAAAUGAGUUACUCUUUGCCAAGCGGGUUGCCAGUCGAUGCAUGCUCGUUUUUUCUCUCACGAAACCACUACGAAAAAACUAUUUGAAAUCGUAACACACUCACGAACGGAAGUGAGCACGGACCACGAUAGAAACAAUAUUCAAUUGGUUGCAGUGCCGAAAACAACAGAACAGGAGAGGAAAGAAGGCAGGAACGAUCCUACAACGUGCUACCGCCUGGUAGUGGAGAAGCGGCAGGAAGGUAGGGACGAUCAUCCAGCGCGCUAGCGCAGCAUGUUGGAGCAGCGAGAGGGAGGCAAGCAGGAAGAAUUUUUAACGUGUGGACACCAUUCCACGAAGACAACGCUGGAUUAAGGAAAGAACGAAGAGAGAAGGCAGGCAAGACGGGUACGUGUGUAUCCCGCACUGGUUUUCGGCAGUGUGAAUUGUGUGAGUAUUGAAAAAUGUAUGUGUGAGUAGAGGUAAAGAAGUAAAAUAAAGAGCGAAUGUGUGGAAUGGAAAAAUGA